UACGUAGGGUCCGAGCGUUGUCCGGAAUUACUGGGCGUAAAGAGCUCGUAGGUGGUUUGUCGCGUUGUUCGUGAAAACUCACAGCUUAACUGUGGGCGUGCGGGCGAUACGGGCAGACUUGAGUACUGCAGGGGAGACUGGAAUUCCUGGUGUAGCGGUGAAAUGCGCAGAUGUCAGGAGGAACACCGAUGGCGAAGGCAGGUCUCUGGGCUGUAACUGACGCUGAGGAGCGAAAGCAUGGGGAGCGAACAGG
rnacentral:rRNA from 1 species